rnacentral:rRNA from 1 species
UGGGGGAUUUUGCACAAUGGGCGCAAGCCUGAUGCAGCGACGCCGCGUGAGGGAUGAAGGCCUUCGGGUUGUAAACCUCUUUCGCUGGGUUGAAAGGCCAUGCUUUGGGUGUGGUUGAUUUGAACUGGUAAAGAAGUACCGGCUAACUACGUGCCAGCAGCCGCGGUAAUACGUAGGGUACUAGCGUUGUCCGGAUUUAUUUGGCGUAAAGGGCUUGUAGGUGGUUUGUCGCGUCUGUCGUGAAAUCCUGUGGCUUAACCAUGGGCUUGCGGUGGGUACGGGCAGGCUUGAGUGCGGUAGGGGAGAAUGGAAUUCCUGGUGUAGCGGUGGAAUGCGCAGAUAUCAGGAGGAACACCGGUGGCGAAGGCGGGUCUCUGGGCCGUGACUGACACUGAGGAGCGAAAGCGUGGGGAGCGAACAGG